GACGAACGCUGGCGGCGUGCUUAACACAUGCAAGUCGAACGGAAAGGCCCUGCUUUUGUGGGUUUCUCGAGUGCCGAACGGGGGAGUGACACGUGAGUAACCUGCCCUUGUCUUUGGGAUAACAUCAGGAAACUGGGGCUAAUACCGGAUAGGAGCUCCUGCUGCGUGGUGGGGGUUGGAAAGUUUCGGCGGUUGGGGCUGGACUCGCGGGUUAUCAGCUUGUUGGUGGGGUAGUGGCUGUCCAAGGCUUUGACGGGUAGCCGGCCUGAGAGGGGAAACGGGGACAUGGGGCCUGCGGGACGCACCAGAAUGCAACGGGAGGCAGCGGGGGGAAACAUUACGCAGUAGGCGCGAGCGUGUGACAGCAGCGCUCCGUUCGGGAAGACGGCUUUUGGGGUGAAAACCGCUUUCGACUGAGACGAAGCGUGAGUGACGGUAAUGGGUAAAGAAGCACCGGCUAACUACGUG
rnacentral:rRNA from 1 species